rnacentral:rRNA from 1 species
GACGAACGCUGGCGGCGUGCCUAAUACAUGCAAGUCGAGCGGAUCUCUUCGGAGAUCAGCGGCGGACGGGUGAGUAACACGUGGGCAACCUGCCUGUAAGACUGGGAUAACUCCGGGAAACCGGGGCUAAUACCGGAUAACCCUUCGGACCUCAUGGUCCGGAGCUGAAAGACGGUUAUGCUGUCACUUACAGAUAGGACCGCGGCGCAUUAGCUAGUUGGUGAGGUAACGGCUCACCAAGGCAACGAUGCGUAGCCGACCUGAGAGGGUGAUCGGCCACACUGGGACUGAGACACGGCCCAGACUCCUACGGGAGGCAGCAGUAGGGAAUCUUCCGCAAUGGACGAAAGUCUGACGGAGCAACGCCGCGUGAGUGAAGAAGGUUUUCGGAUCGUAAAACUCUGUUGUUAGGGAAGAACAAGUACGAGAGUAACUGCUCGUACCUUGACGGUACCUAACCAGAAAGCCACGGCUAACUACGUGCCAGCCGCCGCGGUAAAAC